rnacentral:rRNA from 1 species
AACGCGAAGAACCUUACCCAGGCUUGACAUCUUGGGAAUUUUUCCGAAAGGAAAGAGUGCCGCAAGGAACCCAAUGACAGGUGUUGCAUGGCCGUCGUCAGCUCGUGUCGUGAGACGUUAGGUUAAGUCCUAUAACGAGCGCAACCCUUAUAGUUAGUUGAAUUGUCUAGCUAGACUGCCCUGGUAACAGGGAGGAAGGAGGGGUCGAAGUCAGGUCCGUAUUACCCUUACGCCUGGGGCUACAAACACGCUACAAUGGCCGGUACAAAGGGCUGCCAAGUCGCGAGACGGAGCAAAUCCCAUCAAAGCCGGUCCCAGUUCAGAUUGCAGGCUGAAACUCGCCUGCAUGAAGUCGGAAUCGCUAGUAAUGGUAGGUCAGCACACUACCGUGAAUACGUUCCCGGGCCUUGUACACACCGAUAGC